rnacentral:rRNA from 1 species
AUGAGCAAGGCCUUGUCACCACGUUAUCAAGGGCUGUCAACUUAUGAAAAGGAGUUCUUGGCAGUCAUUGUGGCAGUGGAUCAGUGGAGACUGUACCUACAACAUGCAGAGUUUGUGAUAUAUACAGACCAGAAGAGUCUAGUUCAUCUAGAGCAGCAAAGACUUACUACCCCUUGGCAACAAAAAGCUUUCACUAAACUCUUGGGCCUUUAG